GGAUGUGAGGGCGAUCUGGCUGGGACAUCUGUCACCCCAUUGAUCGCCAGGGUUGAUUCGGCUGAUCUGGCUGGCUAGGCGGGUGUCGCCUUCCUCCCUCACUGCUCCAUGUGCGUCCCUUCCGAAGCUGAGCGCUCCGUCGAAGAGGACGGCCUUCCCCGAAUAGAGACGGACCGGUCUUCGGUCGGUCAAGGGUAUACGCUCCCCUUCUAGAACCUCCAAACAAGCUCUCAAGAAAUUUUAUUUCAAAGAAAAUUGGGAGAGGCAAAGAAUAGGGUGACUAACCAUCCUGGAUUGUCUGG
rnacentral:snRNA from 1 species